CAUAGGUAAGUGUUGUGGCACAUAAAGUUUUGGUCUUUAAGGCGGGAUUAUCAAAUUCCCACUUAUGA
rnacentral:tRNA from 2 species